GCUAUCUGCAGUCGAGGGGCAGCGCAGGUAGCAAUACUGGGCGGCGACCGGCAAACGGGUGCGGAACACGUACGUAACCUUCCUUUAAGUGGGAGAUAGCCCGAAGAAAUUCGGAUUAAUACCCCAUAAGAUUGUGGAGUGGCAUCACUCAGCAAUUAAAGAAUUUCGCUUAAAGAUGGGCGUGCGGCUGAUUAGGUAGUUGGUGAGGUAACGGCUCACCAAGCCAACGAUCAGUAACUGGCGUGAGAGCGCGACCAGUCACACGGGCACUGAGACACGGGCCCGACUCCUACGGGAGGCAGCAGUAAGGAAUAUUGGUCAAUGGACGGAAGUCUGAACCAGCCAUGCCGCGUGAAGGAUGAAGGUCCUCUGGAUUGUAAACUUCUUUUAUAUGGGAAGAAACCACUUUUUUCUAAAGGUGUUGACGGUACCAUAGGAAUAAGCACCGGCUAACUCCGUGCCAGCAGCCGCGGUAAUACGGAGGGUGCAAGCGUUAUCCGGAUUCACUGGGUUUAAAGGGUGCGUAGGCGGAUUAGUAAGUCCGUGGUGAAAUCUCCGAGCUUAACUCGGAAACUGCCGUGGAUACUAUUAAUCUUGAAUACUGUGGAGGUUAGCGGAAUAUGUCAUGUAGCGGUGAAAUGCAUAGAUAUGACAUAGAACACCAAUUGCGAAGGCAGCUGGCUACACAGAGAUUGACGCUGAGGCACGAAAGCGUGGGGAUCAAACAGGAUUAGAUACCCUGGUAGUCCACGCCCUAAACGAUGAUUACUCGACAUUUGCGAUAUACAGUAAGUGUCUGAGCGAAAGCAUUAAGUAAUCCACCUGGGAAGUACGACCGCAAGGUUGAAAC
rnacentral:rRNA from 1 species